rnacentral:misc_RNA from 1 species
AGCCUUUGUUUCCUGGUGAAAGUGGAGUUGACCAACUAGUUGAGAUCAUUAAGGUUUUGGGAACUCCAACAAGGGAGGAGAUAAAAUGCAUGAAUCCAAACUAUACCGAAUUUAAGUUUCCACAAAUAAAGCCUCACCCGUGGCACAAGGUUUUCCAAAAGCGUUUACCCCCAGAAGCAGUGGACCUUGUCUGUAGGUUUUUCCAGUACUCUCCCAAUUUGAGAUGCACUGCUUUGGAAGCUUGUGUGCA